rnacentral:rRNA from 1 species
UACGUAGGAGGCAAGCGUUGUCCGGAAUCACUGGGCGUAAAGCGCGUGUAGGUGGAAGAGGAAGUCUGCUGUGAAAGCGCCUGGCUUAACCGGGCGAGGUCGGUGGAAACUCCUCAUCUGGAGGGCGGUAGAGGGGGGUGGAAUUCCGGGUGUAGUGGUGAAAUGCGUAGAGAUCCGGAGGAACACCUGUGGCGAAGGCGGCCCCCUGGGCCGCACCUGACGCUGAGACGCGAAAGCGCGGGGAGCGAACGGG